rnacentral:tRNA from 1 species
GCAACGGUGGUUCAGUGGUGGAAUCCUCACCUUCCAUGCGGAAGACCUGGGAUUGAUUCCUGGCCAAUGCA